CCUACGGGUGGCUGCAGUGGGGAACAUUGGACAAUGGGGGGAACCCUGAUCCAGCCAUGCCGCGUGUGUGAAGAAGGCCCUCGGGUUGUAAAGCACUUUCAGUGAGGAAGAACGCCUGGUGGUUAAUACCCAUCAGGAAAGACAUCACUCACAGAAGAAGCACCGGCUAACUCCGUGCCAGCAGCCGCGGUAAUACGGAGGGUGCGAGCGUUAAUCGGAAUUACUGGGCGUAAAGCGCGCGUAGGUGGCUUGAUAAGCCGGUUGUGGAAGCCCCGGGCUCAACCUGGGAACGGCAUCCGGAACUGUCAAGCUAGAGUGCAGGAGAGGAAGGUAGAAUUCCCGGUGUAGCGGUGAAAUGCGUAGAGAUCGGGAGGAAUACCAGUGGCGAAGGCGGCCUUCUGGACUGACACUGACACUGAGGUGCGAAAGCGUGGGUAGCAAACAGGAUUAGAUACCCGGGUAGUC
rnacentral:rRNA from 1 species